rnacentral:rRNA from 1 species
AGAACGAACGCUGGCGGCAUGCCUAAUACAUGCAAGUCGAACGAGACCUUCGGGUCUAGUGGCGCACGGGUGCGUAACGCGUGGGAAUCUACCCUUGGGUUCGGAAUAACAGUUGGAAACGACUGCUAAUACCGGAUGAUGACGAAAGUCCAAAGAUUUACCGCCCAGGGAUGAGCCCGCGUAGGAUUAGCUAGUUGGUGAGGUAAAGGCUCACCAAGGCUACGAUCCUUAGCUGGUCUGAGAGGAUGAUCAGCCACACUGGGACUGAGACACGGCCCAGACUCCUACGGGAGGCAGCAGUAGGGAAUAUUGGACAAUGGGGGCAACCCUGAUCCAGCAAUGCCGCGUGAGUGAUGAAGGCCUUAGGUGUAAGCUCUUUACCCGAGAUGAUAAUGACAGUAUCGGAGAAUAAGCUCCGGCUAACUCGUGCCAGCAGCCGC